GGCGUAGCGCAGCCUGGUAGCGCACUUGCAUGGGGUGCAAGGGGUCGCGAGUUCGAAUCCCGCCGUCC
rnacentral:tRNA from 3 species